UCAAGCUACAAAGAGCACAAGGGGAAUGCCUUGGCACCGAGAGCCGAAGAAGGACGUGACUAACUGCGAUAAGCUGCGGGGAGCCGUAAGUAGGCUUUGAUCCGCAGAUUUCCGAAUGGAGCAAUCCGGCAAGAGGAAAGUCUUGUCAUCAUAUACUGAAUACAUAGGUAUAUGAGGGGAACCGCCUGAACUGAAACAUCUAAGUAGGGCGAGGAAGAGAAAUCAACUGAGAUUCCGUAAGUAGUGGCGAGCGAACGCGGAAGAGGCCAAACCGAGAGUAGUAAUACUUUCGGGGUUCGGACAGAAAACGGUAUUGUAAAGGUUUAGUGGAAUGGAAUGGGAAGUCCAACCGAAGAAGGUGAGAGUCCUGUACACGAAAAGCCUGAACAGCCAUCUGUAUCCAGAGUACCGCCGGACACGUGAAACCCGGUGGGAAUACGGGGGGACCAUCCUCCAAGCCUAAAUACUACUCGGUGACCGAUAGUGAAGAAGUACUGUGAAGGAAAGGUGAAAAGUACCCCUGACGGGGAGUGAAAAAGAACCUGAAACCUUGUGUUUACAAGCACCGAAAGCUCAUCAAAGAGCGAUCGGGUACCUUUUGUAGAAUGGUCCGGCGAGUGAAUGUAACCGGCGAGGUUAAGCACUUAAGGUGUGAAGCCGCAGCGAGAGCAAGUCUGAAUAGGGCGUAUGAAGUCGGUUGUAUUCGACCCGAAACCGGGUGACCUACCCAUGGUCAGGUUGAAGUAAAGGUAAAACUUUAUGGAGGACCGAACCGACUCCCGUUGAAAUGGUAGCGGAUGAACUGUGGGUAGCGGAGAAAUUCCAAUCGAACCCGGAGAUAGCUGGUUCUCUCCGAAAUAGCUUUAGGGCUAGCCUUGAAAUAGAUUACCGGAGGUAAAGCACUGAAUUGGCUAGGGGCCGAGAGGUUACUGAACCUUAUCAAACUAAGAAUGCCGGAUAAUCGUUUUUCAGGAGUCAGACAGUGGGAGAUAAGUUUCAUUGUCAAAAGGGAAACAGCCCAGACCCACAGCUAAGGUCCCCAAGUAUAGUUAAGUGGAAAAGGAUGUGGAAUUGCACAGACAACCAGGAUGUUGGCUUAGAAGCAGCCACUCAUUAAAAGAGUGCGUAAUAGCUCACUGGUCGAGUGACUCUGCGCCGAAAAUUUAACGGGGCUAAACUAUACACCGAAGCUUGGGAUACAUCUAAUGUAUGGUAGGAGAGCGUUCUGUAUGGGGCGAAGUCGUAGCGAAAGCGGCGGUGGACUUUACAGAAGUGAGAAUGCCGGAAUAAGUAGCGAGAAUUAAGUGAGAAUCUUAAUGGCCGAAAGUCUAAGGUUUUUGGAGGAAGGUUCGUCCGCUCCAAGUAAGUCGGGAGCUAAGGUCAGGCCGAAAGGCGUAGCCGAUGCACAUACGGUUGAUAUUCCGUAACCAUCUGUAAUUUAAGCAAAGGGACACUUCAAAAGGGUGUGACCCGGGCGUUGGUUGACCCGGGCGUAAGGGACCGAAAUUAGAGUAGGGAAGCACACUUGGCUGAAGGCGAGAAAAGCUUUGCGUAUAGAAGCAGAUGCCCGUACCGCAAACCGACACAGGUGGACAGGAAGAGAAUUCUAAGGCCAGCGGGAGAAGGGUAGUUAAGGAACUCGGCAAAUUGACUCCGUAACUUCGGAAUAAGGAGUGCUCGAAAGAGCCGCAGAGAAUAGGCCCAGGCGACUGUUUAGCAAAAACACAGGUCUCUGCCAAAUCGAAAGAUGAAGUAUAGGGGCUGACACCUGCCCGGUGCCGGAAGGUUAAGAGGAGGAGUGAGAGCUCCGAAUUGAAGCCCCGGUAAACGGCGGCCGUAACUAUAACGGUCCUAAGGUAGCGAAAUUCCUUGUCGGGUAA
rnacentral:rRNA from 1 species